GACGAACGCUGGCGGCGUGCUUAACACAUGCAAGUCGUACGGUAAGGCCCUUUCGGGGGUACACGAGUGGCGAACGGGUGAGUAACACGUGAGUAACCUGCCCACAACUUUGGGAUAACGCUAGGAAACUGGUGCUAAUACUGGAUAUGUGCUCCUGCUGCAUGGUGGGGGUUGGAAAGCUCCGGCGGUUGUGGAUGGACUCGCGGCCUAUCAGCUUGUUGGUGGGGUAGUGGCCUACCAAGGCGGCGACGGGUAGCCGGCCUGAGAGGGUGACCGGCCACAUUGGGACUGAGAUACGGCCCAGACUCCUACGGGAGGCAGCAGUGGGGAAUAUUGCACAAUGGGCGCAAGCCUGAUGCAGCAACGCCGCGUGCGGGAUGACGGCCUUCGGGUUGUAAACCGCUUUCAGCAGGGACGAAGUUUUUUGUGACGGUACCUGCAGAAGAAGCACCGGCUAACUACGUG
rnacentral:rRNA from 1 species